rnacentral:rRNA from 1 species
UUGCAGUCGACGGCAGCACAGUAAGAGCUUGCUCUUAUGGGUGGCGAGUGGCGGACGGGUGAGGAAUACAUCGGAAUCUACCUUUUCGUGGGGGAUAACGUAGGGAAACUUACGCUAAUACCGCAUACGACCUUCGGGUGAAAGCAGGGGACCUUCGGGCCUUGCGCGGAUAGAUGAGCCGAUGUCGGAUUAGCUAGUUGGCGGGGUAAAGGCCCACCAAGGCGACGAUCCGUAGCUGGUCUGAGAGGAUGAUCAGCCACACUGGAACUGAGACACGGUCCAGACUCCUACGGGAGGCAGCAGUGGGGAAUAUUGGACAAUGGGCGCAAGCCUGAUCCAGCCAUACCGCGUGGGUGAAGAAGGCCUUCGGGUUGUAAAGCCCUUUUGUUGGGAAAGAAAAGCAGUCGAUUAAUACUCGGUUGUUCUGACGGUACCCAAAGAAUAAGCACCGGCUAA